GGGCGCGUAGUGUAGCUUGGUUAACAUACCUCCCUGUCACGGAGAAGAUCGCCGGUUCAAAUCCGGUCGCGCCCG
rnacentral:tRNA from 2 species